CUGAAACCUCAUCUUGCCAGUCGAGUAAUUUUUUUCUCCUCUUCAAGGGUCUUCUCUCUCAUUAUAACUUGAAGAACCCCAAGAAUGCUUCAGACACUGGCAUCCAGCCAGCAGAAGAGGGAAAUGCCUGGAGGAUCCUCAUGUGAGAUCCUCGUGGGACUUCCACCAUAUCCUAUUGGCAGGAGUCACUCCCACGGCCAUACCUCAUUGCCAGGUAGGCUGGGAAAUGUGAUAUGACUCUGUGCCCAGGAAGAAGAGAAUGUGAAUUUUGGUUUGGAAAGAGACCUUUGCAGUCCAGUGAUCUAUGAACUACAAUUUAAGUCAUCGCUCCUCCCUCCUUUCCCAAGCACUGGGCACAAAAGUAAAACACAGUGCCAGACCUUGAGGGAUCCAAAAACACAUCUCAAUGUUCAAUCAUCAUGGAAGAAUGAAAAUUGUUCUACUAAACCAUGUGCCAGGCUGAGCGGGAGCUCCAGGGAGGAAAAAC